rnacentral:rRNA from 1 species
UAAAGCGGUACGUGAGCUGGGUUUAGAACGUCGCGAGACAGUUCGGUCCCUAUCUGCCAUGGGCGUAGGAGAUUUGAGGGGGGCUGUCCUUAGUACGAGAGGACCGGGAUGGACGGACCUCUAGUGUACCAGUUGUCGCGCCAGCGGCAGUGCUGGGUAGCUACGUCCGGAAGGGAGAAAUGCUGAAAGCAUCUAAGCGUGAAACCCUCCCCAAGAUGAGAUCUCCCUGGACCUUCGGGUCCCUGAAGGCUCCUGGAAGACCACCAGGUGAUAGGCCAGAUGUGUAAGGCCCGCGAGGGCUUGAGCUAACUGGUACUAAUCAGCCGUGAGGCUUGACCAC